UCCUCGCAGCGCCUGCUGCGCGCCGGGCUCAGGGCCCUGGGCCUGGGCCUCACGGAAGGUAAAUGGCGGCGCUACACUGCAAGGCGGUGUCCAAAGUCUGGGGUCUGCGAAGCAAGGACGGAGGCGGCGCGGGAGCGCUGGGCACCGCAGCCGAGGAGACUUUUCCGUGCAACGGGAGGAAAGAGAAAGGACUCAUGUGUUCAAAUGAAUAGAAGGAGUGAGACGAAGUGGGUGGCAUCAAAAUGGUCCGCGGAAAAAGGGAAUUGAACAAGAAACUAACAGCCGGACUCUCUGCCUCGGGGCAGGUGCCUGAGAGAGCCUGACAUGCAUGGGGGAGCCUCUGAGCAAUUCCUCGCUCUCCCAUGUCCGUCCUGGGUGCCCUCCCACCACUGUCCCCUGCGGAGCCCUCCCCCGAUGGGUGUUUCCUACAGCUCUAAGCUUCGGUCAACAGCCUGAUUCUGGACGCGAGCCAGAAAUGGGAGCAAGCGUUCAUUCGGCUUCUGGAAAUAGUCCCUCCGUUGUCCUUGAGCGCACUGUUACCCCAUUCUCAGUCCCUGCGCAGUGGUCCUCGUUCCCCAACACUCCCCUGAGAAGAAUAAGUAUGUGACUCAGAUGUGGCAGAAAAAAUCAUAUCCUUCCUUUGGCCUCAGUGAUUGAUCAGGAAUGGGCAUGUGACUGAACUGGAGAUUAUAAGACAAGAAGGGUCUUUUAGUGGGAGGGACACGUGUUUUAGCUGCAUCUGAGCCUUGGGGGAUCAGGCUAUGAAUUGACCAGACAGAACAUCUUACAAUGAAGUCAGCCCAGAACUUAGAGCCAGGAAGUAGAGAGAAACUGAAUCAUGAUGGCAUCAGCUGAACCCUAACAUGAACCCUGAACCCUAAUUGUGAACCUGUUACUUGAUACCACCCUUAGUACCAGACUUUCUCAGAUACCAGACUCCCAGUUUUGAGGAAGCAAAGCUGCCAUAUUGGAAUGACGCACAUGACAUGGGCAUGGAAUUGCCAAGCUAAUUCCAGCUAAUAGAAAACAAGGAAUUGAGGGCCUCAUUCUAUCAUACCUUAAGAAAACGAGCCCUUCCAGCAACUGCUUAACUGAACACAGAAGUGGAUCCUUGAUCCUUCCCCAUUCAAACCUGCAGAUGAGAGCCAAGCCCCAGCUGACAUCUUGACAGCCUUGUGAGAGAACCUGAAGCAGAGAACCCAGAUCAUCUACAUAAAGAAGGGAAAAGACCCCAAGUCUACUGAGAUAGUUAAGGGGACAGCUUCUACAAGUCUGUGAACUGCCACUUGGCCUCUCUAUUGAAGACCAAACGUGUCCUUUUGACCUCAGGAAAAUAGCAGCCUAAUUUUGACAUUGAUCCAGGGUCAAUGGAUGUUCUAGAAGAAAAGUCUCGAGAGACAGACUCCCAGCUUUCAGGAACAAGCUGCCAUAUUGGAGUGACCCACAUAACAUGGACGUGGAACUGAGGUCUCCAGCUAACUCCAGCCCAUAGAAAACAAGGAAUUGAGGAUCUCAGUCCAUCAUGCCUUGAGGAAAUGAACCCUUCCAACAACUACUGAAGUGAACAUUGAAGUGGAACCUUGAUCCUUCCCCAUUCAAACCUGCAAGAGACCCAAGACUCAGCUGACAUCUUGACAAACUUGUAAGAGACCCUAAGCAGAGAACCUAGAAAGCUUCUAUUUGAAGAUUGCUAUGAUCUGCAUCAAUGGAAAAUGAAUAAAUCUUUGACUGAAAACCAGAAUGCUCUUAGAAAUCGACUGACUUCAGAACCUUUGAGGACAGCCUAAUACCUUGCUCUCAGAGAUCUAUGUCUACCACGAAGAUUAAAUAAUGUCACUCUCUCUGGAGACCUGGAGAGCCAAGUGCGUUUUGGAACCGCAAGGACAGGAACUUACCCCAAAAGGCAGGUAUUUACAGGAAAGAUCUGGGGAUGACACCAUGGAUACUCUCUUACCCUGAGAAGCAAAGAAAUAAGAGCUCAGUAUGAGAUUCCUUGUGGAGAGUCUAGUGCAGUCAAGCUUAAAAAAAGGUGCAGUUAUAUUUUGUCCUGUUGUACUUACUCAAAAGAACUGACCAUUUGUUUCUAUGCAGGCAUCACUCUUUUUCUCUUUUCCUUAUCAACUUGACAUGUGGCACUGAAAAAAAAAAUUAUAACAUUUAUUUGAAACUACAAAAGAAACCAAAUAAGUAAAAUAUUCCUAAG